GUGUCAGCAGCCGCGGUAAUACGAAGGACCCGAGCGUUAUCCGGAUUUAUUGGGUUUAAAGGGUGCGUAGGCGGAAUAUUAAGUCAGUGGUGAAAUCCUACAGCUUAACUGUAGAAUUGCCAUUGAUACUGAUGUUCUUGAGUAUGAUUGAGGUGGGCGGAAUGUGUCAUGUAGCGGUGAAAUGCUUAGAUAUGACACAGAACACCGAUUGCGAAGGCAGCUCACUAAGUCAUAACUGACGCUGAUGCACGAAAGCGUGGGGAGCAAACAGGAUUAGAUACCCGCGUAGUCC
rnacentral:rRNA from 1 species